UACAAAACAAAAAAAAAAAAACCCUAACAAACACCUCAUCUCUGCGUCGCCUCAAAGAAACGAAGGUCCCCCUCCCAUUCAACUCCGAUCCGAGUGGAGGAGGGAUGCGGCAACACAAAAAAAAAAACCCAGGUUGUUUGUCUUUGUUGCAAAUGUCGCUGGCGUGAGGCCGUACGUUGACAUGGCAUGGCUGCGGCGCAAGAGCAGAAAGCUGCUGAAGGCUAGGGUUAGGUGAUUGGGUUGGGGACAUUCGGGCUUGAUUUUGGGUAGUGGGCCAUGCUUAGGUUUGAAUUUGGGCUUGGAAUGUUUAAUAAACUAUGGUAUUUGUUUUGUUUUUGUAUUAUUUUUUGUUUUGAUUUUUGGUUUACGGGCCCGGGCAAAUAUUGGGCCUUACAGUAACUUUCGAGGAAAAACAUACAUAUCCAUAAUAGUGUCAAGAUAGGAUAUCAAAUACAUGUCAUGCCAUUCAAGUCAUUAAACAAGUUAUAGUACAAUAA